rnacentral:rRNA from 1 species
GACGAACGCUGGCGGCGUGCUUAACACAUGCAAGUCGAACGGAAAGGCCCUGCUUUUGUGGGGUGCUCGAGUGGCGAACGGGUGAGUAACACGUGAGUAACCUGCCCUUGACUUUGGGAUAACUUCAGGAAACUGGGGCUAAUACCGGAUAGGAGCCCCUGCUGCAUGGUGGGGGUUGGAAAGUUUCGGCGGUUGGGGAUGGACUCGCGGCUUAUCAGCUUGUUGGUGGGGUAGUGGCUUACCAAGGCUUUGACGGGUAGCCGGCCUGAGAGGGUGACCGGCCACAUGGGGACUGAGAUACGGCCCAGACUCCUACGGGAGGCAGCAGUGGGGAAUAUUGCACAAUGGGCGGAAGCCUGAUGCAGCAACGCCGCGUGCGGGAUGACGGCCUUCGGGUUGUAAACCGCUUUCGCCUGUGACGAAGCGUGAGUGACGGUAAUGGGUAAAGAAGCACCGGCUAACUACGUG